UACGUAGGGACCGAGCGUUGUCCGGAUUCAUUGGGCGUAAAGAGCUCGUAGGCGGCUGCUCAAGUCGAAUGUGAAAACUCGAGGCUCAACCUCGAGCCUGCAUUCGAUACUGGGCGGCUAGAGUCUGGUAGGGGGAUCUGGAAUUCCUGGUGUAGCGGUGGAAUGCGCAGAUAUCAGGAGGAACACCGGUGGCGAAGGCGACGACCUGGACAGACAUUGACGCUGAGACGCGAAAUCG
rnacentral:rRNA from 1 species